UCAAACUGCUGUAUUUGAAACAUGAAGGUAAAUGAUGACAGUUUACAUUUGUUAAACCGUUUCACUGGAGAGUACGUAAUUAUGAACCCUUUUCCCAAGAAGUUCAGGCUCUGAAUUGAUGUCAGAUGGGUAGCUGGACUUCUUCCAGUUCUUGGCAACAUUGUCAAAAGAUGCUGAUACAUGAGAUGUAAUAUGGUUAUUUUAUUCGCAAAAAAAACAUGAAAACAUGUACCAUUUCAUUUUGUUUUUUAACAAUUGGCAAAAUCAUUUCAUUUCAUUCGUUUCAUUUCAAGUAGAAAAUGUUCUCCUCCUACCAGACUCAUGAAGAAUUCUUGCUUUGUGUCGGGUCCCCCCUUUCUCGGGCUGUAGUUCCUCCAUUACUUUAACACAAUUCAGCAACUUGUCAAUGUUCUUAUAUGGAGGCCACCAGGAGUAGCCAUCUGAAUACCAGGACUUUGCAGCUAGUCCAGUCGUCCCCUCUCCCUCAAACUCCACGAUUAGAAUUUGACAGCUGUGGAGAGGUUGUCAACUAUGUAGAUGCCAAGUGCAGAGGAUGGUAGGGGAUAGUCAAAAAAGGAUUCCUGGUGGUUGAAGGUACUGUAGGCAACAUGCAUUUCAUCCCUGAAUGAAAUGAUGUUGUUCAGUUUAGCAGCUUUACCACUGAUGUAAACGAGAUGCCUAAUCCAUCUUGAAAGUGAAAGUGCUUUUUCUUUAUUCUUUGUAUUGUGCUGCUUCAUGAAAAUUUGCAGGGAUAGGACCAGUUGCAUGCAGUUUUGUCAACGCAUAUGGUUUGGUUUUGUGAGUUUUUGUACAGCAACUUUGCAUUUCAGAGAAUCUUCUGACUAUUUGACUCAGGGGGCACGUUGGUUUCCUCAGAAGUCUUUUCAGUUUGUGCAGGUGAUUCUCGUAUUUAAAAGCGCUGAAUUUGUCCAGGAUGCCAUGCUGUUUGCAUCGACUGCAAGGUGUACAAGUCAGUGUGCAUUGUAGGACAGGAAUUUUGGACCAUACAGCUGACCAAAGUGGGUGACAAAUAGAGCCAGUAUGUCAUUGGCAUACUCACAGUAAUGUUCUUUAAACUGUUGAUACAAAGGAUGAAAAUUCCCACAUAAAGCAACAUGAAGUUUUUGUACACUUCUGUGCUGAGGAGAUCUUUUAACAUGACCGGUCCAGUAUACAGUACAAACUGCCUGAACUCCGUUGCCUUCCACCUAUCAAUUUCCAUCAGUGUCCUUGGUUUCCUUGCAAACUCCAUGAGUAAAUUACUCUGAGCACUCACCAACCUUUCUGUUGAGGUGUUUAUUUGAAACCCUGACAGUCUACAGGUAAGAGGACCUAACCAUUAACUCAUUCCCCGCCAGCCUUUAAAAAAAAAUAGUUGCUAGCCUACGGCAGGUUUUUUUUACAUUUUCACCAACUUUUAAUGGCUCACAGUAAAUUUUCUGGAAAGAAUAUAUGGACAAACGAUAGGUCAAAUGAAAGAACAGAGUCUCAGCUUUUAAACAAAAGAAACCGUAUUCUUCUAUCUUCUAUCUUCAUUUAUUCAUUUUUUAUCACUCCGUAGAUGAGGGUAGGUUUCUUCAAAAAUGUAUCACUUUGAUUAAACAGCUGAGAUAAUUAACGUUUUUGUCAGUUUCUGCCCAGAUUACACUCAUUAAAAACCGCUAAAACAUAUACGUUCUAGGUUCUGGGAUUCUGUACUUUUUCCCAAAGGUGUGUAAUAGCGCCACCUGCUGUAUAACAGUAUAACAUUUACAUUUAUUCAUUUGGAAGAUGCUUUUAUCCAAAGCUACUUACAAGUAGGGUGCAGUGGGCAGCUAUCACUGCAGAGCAAACAGGGGUAAGGUGCCUUGCUCAAGGACACUUCAUUUCAUUUCCUGGUGGCACUGAGAAUUGAACCAGCGACCUUCUGGCUACGAGUCGAAGUUUCUAACCACUAGACCACAACUGACCCUGAUAAACACUGAUUGCCGUACUAACUCGUCUUUGGCGGGGAACCAUUUUUUUAAAAUGACGAGAUAACUCGUCAAUGGCGGUGAAAGAGUUAAUUACAAGUGCAAAAGCCGCCUCAUGAUUCCAAGACAUACAAGGUGCAUGUAAUCAAGGGGAAACCCAGAGACCAUAUCUAGAGAAAUUUGUUCUAGAGGUGAGGUACCAUGAUGAUGAUCUGAAUCUGUCCUGUUCCUUUAACUCUCAUUGGUUCUUAAAGGCAUGUCAUUACUUGGAAAUGUCAUUCUGUUUUCCAGGUACAUGCCUUCUUGUGUGCAUUUUUCACAUCCGUGAUAGCCUGUGUGUCCUUUUAAAUUUUGAAGGAAUGCACAGGCAGUUGCAUCGAAAGCCAUGCAAGAGAGCUCUAAAAACAACUUCACACCUUCAAAUUCAAAUCCCUUAGCAAGUUCAUUGACUUCAGAGAUGAAGUCUUCAAGAUACUCAUCCAAUGAGGUGGGUUUACAGGUGCCACAAAAUAAACCUAUUGUCACAGGUUCUUUGUGAGGUAGAUGUUGCACUGUACCUAGAAUGGGCCAGAACUGUUUUGCUGAACUUUUGAAGAGAGGCAAACCAUCAAUGUUGACCUGAAGCUCCAACUUGUUGAUGUUGCUCAAAAUGUAGAUGUUCUGGUGUAGCACUUCAGCAAACCAUAAUGGUAAUACUUGCCACUAGCCUUGUCCUGUAGUUCUGUGGAACGCACAGUUCCUAACAAUGUUAGAGUCUUUUGGCAUAGUUAAAUUGUGUUUGAUUAGUAUGUGAUGUAGAGAAUUCAAUGCCACAUGUGUGAUUUUGUGUUCAGUAGCCCAGGUUGCCAAAUCAUCUUCCAGGGAAGUUGAAUCAGAUUCUGAAUCAGUGUCCGAUUCGCUGUCAUCAAGAACACUUGAAAUAUACUCAGUUUAAUCGUUUGAGAGAGACAGUCCAUAAAUACAUCAUCGUCAUUUUGACAGGUGCUGCUGCCAGACUCUUCUGGCCUUGGUAUUGCUUCGAUUGACUGCAGUUGCUUUUACAGUUUGCCCUUCUCCUUAGUGUCCAGUAAGAUGGUUUAUUGCCAACUAACCCUAACCAUACUAUUAUGAUAUUAACAUUAAUACAUUGCUGUUGUUUUUGUUUAAUUACUGACCUACCAAUGAUUGUAUAUGUACACAAAUGAUCAUCAUACCUUUGGUAGGUGGAUUUGUGGCUGUGGAUAACCUUAUGCAGUCAGACAGUGCUGAAAUGUAUAUUAAUUUGUAUAAUGUAUAUCAUUUUCAAUUAGGUUUUGAUUUUAUGCAGUUUUUUUUAGACAGAGAAUUAUGCACUUACGGAAAGUAUUCAGAUCCCCUUAAAUUUUUCACACUUUGUUAUAUUGCAGCCAUUUGCUAAAAUUUCCUCAUUAAUGUACACACAACACCCCAUAUUGACAGAAAAACACAGAAUUGUUGACAUUUUUGCAGAUUUAUUAAAAAAGAAAAACUGAAAUAUCACAUGGUCUUAAGUAUUCAUACCCUUUGCUCAGUAUUUAGUAGAAGCACCAUUUUGAUUUAAUACAGCCAUGAGUCUUUUUGGGAAAGAUGCAACAAGUUUUUCACACCUGGAUUUGGGGAUCCUCUGCCAUUUCUCCUUGCAGAUCCUCUCCAGUUCUGUCAGAUUGGAUGGUAAACGUUGGUGGAAAUGUGAUAUGGUCUGUUUGACAUGUGGCGCUGGUCAAACCGAUCGGCCUGUGCUGUCACAGUACCGCGAGAGGAAUUUCAGAGGCUCGGGCAGUGUGCUUUGGAAUCGCUCUCGCGUUACUAUGAUGUCAUAUUCUGAUCGAUCUGCGGAAGGCCUCAAGAAGUCUAAACACAAUGACGUACCAUGUGAAUUUCCAUAUGGAGUAAUGCAGAAACGUGCUUAAAACCCGCCCCCAUUGACCCAGAAGAAAAACCUUAUAUUAGCCCGCAGGUAACAGCCCAUUAUUUUUAUGCUUCAGAAACAAUUACAAUAAGGCAUAUUGAAUUUGACAUUACAAUUUCUAAGAAAGACAAGAGCACAAAUAAAACAAAAAAGAAAAUACAUUAAGAAAUACACCCAUCCAAUUACUGAGUGAAGGAUAAAUAAAUAAAAUCAGACACAAAGAUAGAAAAAAUAAAAGUGAAAAUCUAUUAACCUACAUAACAUCAGGGUUUUCUAAAAGCUCAAACACUUCAACCAAUUUAAAUAGUUUUCUUCCGACUUAAAGAUUAACAGUAAAUCCAAAAUUCUUUUUGAAAAAUCUUACACUUAUGAAUAUCGAAUUUCCCCAAAAUAAGGAUACUCCUUUAUAAUAACUCCAAAAAAUAUAUCCCUUUUGGAAAAAGCCAAUAGAUCAAUUGAAUUAUUUAGACACUCAUACAAAUCAGACCAAAAAGCUCUACUGUAUUGACAAACAAAAAAUAAAUGUGCUGUUGUUUCAAUUUCUGAAUCACAAAACUUACAUAUAUUAUGAUCAAUAAUAAACCUAUAUCUAAGAAAUUCCAAGGAAGGAUAAAUAUCAUUAAAUACUUUAUAAUGUACUUACUUGGCUUUGGGAUGUAUAGGAAAGGAAAGAUACAUGGUUCUUAAUUUUUUAAGAGAGCUCUUUGAAACAAACUGAAUCACAUUAUUUCGAUUACACUGAGCUGAAAAUUGAUCAUGAAUAAGUAAAGUUCGUAUUACUUUGUUUGGAAAACUACUCCAGUGUUUGAUGCUAAAAAGUUUUUAUCAGAUUAAUUUUUUGGGUCAACAAAAGUAUGUCAUAUUUACCUAGAGAAUAAAUAAUUUUGAGCUCAACUGUACGUGUAAAUCAUAAAUUAUCAUAGUAUGUCUUUCAUUGAUUGACAAUCUAUUCACCUUAAAAAUAUCAUUUAUUAUCCAUAAUAACGGUUUUCACGAUCCAUAAUUUUUUUCAUUACAACACAUUUGAACAAAUGCUAAUAAAUACUUUUACUUUAAAUAGCCAGGUGUUUUCUUGCUCAUCUGGCUGAAAGUCGAUGGUACAUCUGGAGCUGAGGUUAGUGGGAUUAAAAGGUUUUGCUUGUAACUUGUUAUAUCAGUUCAAUAUUUUAUAUUUAAUUACAGAAAAUGCUUUUUGUAGUUAGUAUUUAAUUAUGGAUGUUAAAAUUCCUGGACAUUUAUCCGAGUUUCAUUUGUCCAAAUGAUAAUAUACAUUUUAUUUUGGUUACCCUUAGAAUUAUGGCUUGAUGUUUGGUUCACCCAUUAUCUGGAAAUGGUGCCUCCAUCUGGAUAUUUCCGCAACCAGUCAAUGAAUAGAGGGUAUGGAUGUGUCGUCACUUUACCACCUGAGCACGCCGGAGCGCGCCCCAAUGGGUUGCAGAACACUCAGCUAAAUAACUGCUUACAAAGGAAUCAGGUUUUCCUGGACACUGAAAUGUUGCAUGGAAUUGCUUUUCCUGAUAUUCCAUUUUGUUGCGUGUUUUACCACUCAGGGGAACAUGUCCUGGACCUCAAGGGGGCGUGUCCCGUCUAUGCAUACCCUCUAUAGAGGACACCAUCAGUGGCCAUUUGAAUACAUCAAGUUUGCGACCGGUCCGGUUGUCUAAUUAUCAGGGACAUUUUAUGUCUUAUAAAAUGGUUAGUUCUGGUCCUUGGUUCUGGUAGUGCUCGGUUCUAAGCCAUUAUAUAUUUUCUAAACACGCACAAAUGACCACAUUACAUACAAAUCACCGUGCCACUGUUUGUUGGUGUGUCUGUGUUGAUUUCGACCAUUUUGUUCUUUCUGUUUUUCAGGAACUACAUUGUUUGGCAUAGUAAUAUUUAUUAUUAAUAUAAAUACAUAUACAUAUAUCCAUGUAAAUCUAAUUAUUAGAAAUGCAUGUAAACAAAUUACUAGAAAGGGGUGCCAUGCUUUCAAAAAGUUUGGGAACCACUGAUUUAUCCUGACAUACUGUACAUGUUUACUACAAAUAUUUUGUGUUGCCUACUUGGAACACUGCACAACCAAUCAGAAUGAAGAACCAAAACUAACAGACAAAAUAUUUUGCAGAUUUUUAACUGAUCUUUAUUCUACAGCCAGCACACUACACUUCUUGGAUGUUUUAGCUGUGGAAAGUGCGACACAUCCACCUCCCAACCUCCUCCCAGGGCUUCUGCUGCAUCUGUGAGAAUCUGCAUCCCACCUGGACGGACCACCUCGAUACGUCCCAAAAACUACACACACAACCCAGAGACCACUAUGUAUUGUAAGUGACGAUCCCCACUAUAUAACCCCUUCAUUGCAAUAAAUUAAGUAAUUUGAAGAGGAUUAUUCAGUACAAAUACAACGUCAAAUAUUGACUAUGGUUAACAAGAUGCUUUCCCAGCUAACACACGACGUACCCGUUACGUAAUUUAUUGGUCAUUUUUGGUAAUUUCAAGACUUGCCAGCUGACAACGUAGCUGGCACGUCCCAUGCUCUUUAUCAUUAAAUGACCAAUUCAUGACGUCGCCUAAACGAACUCAUGACGUUACAAGAUAAACAAGGACGAUCCAGUUACUUAAAACAUCUGUACUAUUUUGGUAAUAGCAUGACCUACAGGUAAAGUUAAUGGCACGUUCCUGGCACGUAAUGUCAUUACCAAUAAUUUGUUGAUUUACAUUAACGAUUUACAUGGCGUUUACUUUUGAAAUGUGUGUCUUUACAACGUUUUUAGUCAGGAUAUUGUACAUCUGUUGAUUAAAUAAGCCAAGCGAUAUUUAAUACGCCACAUGCAGGCAGCUCUCUGUUAUGGGAAUGUAACAGUGCGCGCCUCCUUAACACUCAAGUUCAUAACUGGCGCGCACCUCGAUCUUGCGCGCUCAAGUUUAGAACAGCGCGUGCCCAGCAGAGCUGCGUCCAACAGUUUCUCCGAAAAUGUCGUCUGACAGCAGCAACAACACUUUUUUGAUGGGCUUUCGUACUGACAGUAAUUAAAGUUCCUCUGACAGGAAGUUUCUUUUAUCAGUUCAGGUACACAGCAAACAGGUACACAUUACACGGCGCCUGGAGAUGACGUAUGAUAACUCUGCAUAAAAAGACCAGCCAUCACAUAAAGUAUAUUUGAGGUGUUUUUUGCUAUAUUUAUGCUUCUGUAAUUAUAUCUGUCGUGAAUCAUUCUCGAUGCUGUUUUAAAUAAAGUUUUAAAUGAGUCUGUUGUAUGAAGUUAAGUAUCUGAACAAACACUUGUUUUUCAUUGUAAUGAUUUAAACAUGCUUGUAUACUGUUUUAAACGCGAUUUGAUAUGUCGCUGUUAAUAUGGUUUUAUCUAUAUAAAUGAAAAGUUUUCCAACUCUGAGUCUGUGUCAUUUUAUGUUAUUUUAUGUUAAGUCUCUAAUAUAGUUAUGGGCAAAUAAGGACAGGUUAAAUUAGUUUUGCUGCAUGUCCGCCCAAAGAAUAUUAGAUCAAAUAUUUAAAUUACUAACUGGUUCCCAUCACAUUUUUUUAUCCAUUACGUUGUAACGACAUGACCAAGAACGGCAGUAUACGUCACGAGAUCACUUUUCGGUCGACAAGACGUAACGUCGCCACGACGUAAAUUUGGUCAAAAGAUAACGUUGACGUUACGUAACAGUCACGUAUUUU